rnacentral:rRNA from 1 species
GCCUAACACAUGCAAGUCGAGCGGCAGCGACAUGAUAGAAGCUUCGGUGGAAAUCAUGGGCGGCGAGCGGCGGACGGGUGAGUAAUGCCUGGGAAUAUGCCUUGAUGUGGGGGAUAACUAUUGGAAACGAUAGCUAAUACCGCAUAAUGCCUUCGGGCCAAAGAGGGGGACCUUCGGGCCUCUCGCGUCAAGAUUAGCCCAGGUGGGAUUAGCUAGUUGGUGAGGUAAAGGCUCACCAAGGCGACGAUCCCUAGCUGGUCUGAGAGGAUGAUCAGCCACACUGGAACUGAGACACGGUCCAGACUCCUACGGGAGGCAGCAGUGGGGAAUAUUGCACAAUGGGCGCAAGCCUGAUGCAGCCAUGCCGCGUGUGUGAAGAAGGCCUUCGGGUUGUAAAGCACUUUCAGCAGUGAGGAAGGCGGGUACGUUAAUAGCGUGCUCGUUUGACGUUAGCUGCAGAAGAAGCACCGGCUAACUCCGUGCCAGCAGCCGCGGUAAUACGGAGGGUGCGAGCGUUAAUCGGAAUUACUGGGCGUAAAGCGCAUGCAGGUGGUUUGUUAAGUCAGAUGUGAAAGCCCGGGGCUCAACCUCGGAACAGCAUUUGAAACUGGCAGACUAGAGUACUGUAGAGGGGGGUAGAAUUUCAGGUGUAGCGGUGAAAUGCGUAGAGAUCUGAAGGAAUACCGGUGGCGAAGGCGGCCC